UUAACUAAAAAAAAUGCAAGCUUUACACUGAGCAGAGUUUUUCUUAACCACUUAGCUUACUAGCUAGCCUACUUAAACAUAUAUGUUCGACAGCACAGUAAAUAUCGAGUGUAAUGACAUUAAUUUACAUCGAAAGUUGUACUUUUCAUUGUCACUGGUGGCAGAAAACGAAUUAAAAAAUUUCAACAGGUAGCGUUUUACACGAGGCGGUAGCGUUUUACACGAGGCGGCACCGUUAAACUGGCUGCCGGAAUGUGGCCUACACACAGCGCCCUCGUGUUAGUUCAAACACCAGAAACAACGUCUCCGCUCCAGUCUGCGAUGCCAGAGCUGAUUUUAAUCAUGAGUUAGUAACAACCGCAUCAUAUUUUAAUUUUUAAAAUAGUCAAUUUCCUAGUGCCAUUUGUGAACUAAACGAGAGCUUUUCCUUGCUACCUGUUUGAAUGAAUAGGCUAUGCAAUAACCUUAAUCACGUGUUUUUAUUAAUCCAAUUUUCAUGGGGUUUUAAUCUUGCGGUCACAGUAAAAGUACGGCAGACUUGGCGUCUGUUUUUUAUUUUUUAUUAUUUAAUUUAAACCACUGCUGGACGGCCAUAGUCUGCUGUGAACGUCACGGGCACAUCUACAAACAGGGCUGCUGAUAUUGGCUGCUGUUCAGGCUUCUGUGGUGUUGUAUUUAUUCUUGGCUGGCCGCGGACCUGUGCGCGCGCGCACACGCAUGACAAGGUUGAAUUGGACCAUAACGUUAUUCAGCGGUCUUCAAUAGCUCCCAAUAGAUUUAAAGUAUUGUAAAUGGAACUUUGCCGUUUACAAGACCGGUGCACGUGUCAUGCUUUAAGAUGCCCCUUUGAAUAGAAAUGAGAAAGUGCUAUAUUUGUUAUGAAUUGCCCUGGCAUUUUAAGAAUCAUUAACAAAUAAAUAAAUACAAAUAAAUAAAUAUCAGCUUAACUGUCUUUUACACUGAACUUUUAGACUUAUUAUAGAGAUAUGUGUACUGUUGUAUGUAAAUAGGAAAUGGUUAUUUAACUACCAAGUCACAUAUCUGUCCUAAUUCUCCUUUUUUCUCCCUUCUGUUUCCAGUUUUACAUGCUGAAAAUGCAAAUGUCUACAUGUUUUGAAUGCAAACGGAAAUGCGGUGGAUUUUGACUGUCAUCUAGUUUUCCGAUCACAACAAUCUCUGAAAAACCACUUGAGACAACAUGGAGUUUCACAGCAUGGACCUAUUGGACAUUUAAACUUUAAAAUUAACUGUCAGUUAUGCAAUUUCAAUGAUCCAGUGACUAUAAAACAGUAUUUCUCUCAUCUUGGGAAACAUCUUAAAAGCAAAGAGACUGUUACCUGCCCCUUAAAUCAUUGUUCUUUCAAAUCAAGUGUUUACUCUACCUUUACUUCACACAAAAGUCGUUUUCAUAACAAUGUCACACUGCAAGACUUGAAAUCUGAGCUUGUUAUUCAAACAAAUGUAAAUGAGGAGCACCUGGUUGAUCAAGUGCAGUCAGAUAUCAGUGACGCUGAAUUUUCUGGGGGUGAGAAUAUAACCGAGCAGGAGGUUAACACUGAUACAGUUCAGGCAAGACUUGCAUCUUUAUUUCUGCGAUUGCAAGCAGUUUUGCAUGUCUCAAAGACAGCGGUUCAGCAAAUAGUUACAGAAUUGAGGGAUAUUGGUGUUUUAGUUGGUGAGCUAAACAAAAACACUCUUGAUAAAGCAUUGAGGCAGCAUGGUUGUACCAUUGAUGAAAACACUUUAAAUAUAGUUAAAGAUACUUUGUGCCAGGCUAAUCAUUUUAGCUGUCUUUCUGAAGGUGGGUCUUUGGGAACUGACAAAAGAAGGUUAUCAUUUUUCAAAGAAAACUUCAGUGUUAUUAACCCAGUUGAAUUCGUUUUAGAUUUGUCAUCAAAACGAACAUUUGUUUAUGUGUCAAUCUUGGGUGUUCUUCAAGUAUUGUUAAAUAGGGGUGAUGUACUUGACAGAGUUUUAGAAGAAAGCCAAAAAUCACAAUCUGGCCAUUAUACAUCAUUUUCUGAUGCAUCAUACUGUAAAGAAAAUCCACUUAUUUCUGGUGAAGAUCUGAGUAUUUCUCUGGCCUUGUAUAUUGAUGAUUUCGAAGUCUGUAAUCCUUUAGGGACAUCAAGAAAAAAACAUAAAUUGUGUGCCAUCUAUUGGAUAAUUGCUAAUUUACCUGUAAGAGACAGAUCAUCAUUAUCUACUAUAUAUCUGGCUGCCCUAUGCAAAAGUCAAGAUGUUAAAACAUUUGGUUACAGUCCAAUUGUUCAACCAUUACUAAGAGACCUAAAAUUGCUUGAAAAUCAAGGAAUUUACAUCAACAGAUUGGGAACUAGUGUCAGAGGCACAGUACUAUACAUUUCAUCAGAUAAUUUGGGGGCACAUUCUUUUGCUGGCUUUCAAGAAUCAUUUAAUGUGGACAAGUUUUGCAGAUUUUGCCUUGCAAGUCGUAAAGAUAUUCAAACUUGUUCUGUAAGAAGUGGUGCAUUUGUAUUGAGAACAAGAGAGUCGCAUAACCUAGACCUCUCUGAGCUUAAAGAAAAUGUGACUUUGAAAAGUGUGAAUGGGGUAAAAAGGGACUGUGUUCUAAAUGAGCUACAGUACUUUCAUUGCAUCACAGGGUUUCCACCUGACUUUUUGCACGACCUGUUGGAAGGCAUUGUACCCUUUGAGCUGUGUUUGUGUUUGAAAAAAUUAAUUGAUAAGAAAUAUUUCACUGUAGAUAAUUUAAAUACUGCCAUACAGCACUUUCCUUAUAAGUUCUCAGACAAAACCAAUUGCCCUCAGAAAAUUCCAGUAAAUUUUCAUUUGGUUGGAACAAUAGGAGGGAAUGGCCAUGAGAAUUGGACUCUGUUAAGGUUGUUGCCAUUAAUUAUUGGUGAUGUUGUUCCUGAAAAUGAUAACGCUUGGUCUGUGAUUCUCGAACUGAAAGACAUUGUUGAAAUCUUGGUAUCGUCCACUUUCACAGAAGAAAGCCUCUCUUACUUGGAAGCAAAGAUCUUUGAACAUAGGACACUUUUAAUAGAAGUGUUUCCUGAUGUAAAACUCAAACCCAAACAUCAUUUCCUUGAACAUUAUCCCUGUCUAAUUCGAUGCUUUGGACCUGUGGUUGACUUCUGGACAUUUCGCUUUGAAGCUAAACAUAGCUUUUUCAAGAAAGCGGUCCGUGAUCUAAAUAACUUCAAGAACAUUGUUUUAUCCUUGGCCAACAGACACCAACUUAUGUUGUCAUACUUUUUUGACAUGCCGUGCCUGUUCAAGCCAGCAGUGGAAGUAGAAAGAGCAACAUACAGUUCCCUUGAAAAUCUGUCAACCUCAGUCAGACAAGCUAUUCAGCACAAAUUCAGUCAUCUGACCAGUGCAUCACUUGCAACAACAGCCUUUAUACAUGGGACAAAAUAUGUAAAGGGAAUGUACGUAUCAUUUGGAAGCACAAGCGGACUUCCUGAUUUCUGUCAAAUUCUGUACAUUGUGGUAGUGGACAACAAGGCAUUCUUUAUUCUUCAACCUUUCUCUGCCUGGUACCUGGACCACUUCAGAUGUUUUGAAGUUUGCAGCGCUGAUGAUCUCCAACUGGUUGUGGUCGAACCUGCAGAGCUGAACCACUACGCCCCUCUGUCAGCCUACACCGUGCAAGGAAGACACCUGAUUUCUCCGAAGGCAUCCCUACUGCACUGAGGUGAUAAUUUUG